UACCUGCAGCUCGAGUGGUAACCGCUAUUAUUGGGCCUAAAGCGUCUGUAGCCGGUUUGGUAAAUAUCUGGGUAAAUCGUGAGGCUUAACUUCACGAAUUUCGGAUAGACUGCCAGACUUGGGAUCGGGGGAGGUCAGAGGUACUCCAGGGGUAGCGGUGAAAUGUUGUAAUCCUUGGAGGACCACCGGUAGCGAAGGCGUCUGACUAGAACGAGUCCGACGGUGAGGGACGAAGCCCUGGGGCGCAAACCGGAUUAGAUACCCGGGUAGUCCAGGGUGUAAACGAUGUGGGCUUUGUAUUGGAGGUCCCACGUGGGCGUCCAGUGCAGAAGAGAAGUUGUUAAGCCCACCGCCUGGGAAGUACGGUCGCAAGGCUGAAACUUAAAGGAAUUGGCGGGGGAGCACAGCAACGGGAGGAGCGUGCGGUUU
rnacentral:rRNA from 1 species